UACGUAGGGGGCUAGCGUUGUCCGGAAUCAUUGGGCGUAAAGCGCGUGUAGGCGGCCCGGUAAGUCCGCUGUGAAAGUCCAGGGCUCAACCCUGGGAUGCCGGUGGAUACUGUCGGGCUCGAGUCCGGAAGAGGCGAGUGGAAUUCCUGGUGUAGCGGUGAAAUGCGCAGAUAUCAGGAGGAACACCAAUGGCGAAGGCAGCUCGCUGGGACGUGACUGACGCUGAGACGCGAAAGCGUGGGGAGCAA
rnacentral:rRNA from 1 species